rnacentral:rRNA from 1 species
AAGGGGGCGAGCGUUGUUCGGAAUUACUGGGCGUAAAGGGCGCGUAGGCGGUCUUUUAAGUUAGGCGUGAAAUCCCCAGGCUCAACCUGGGAACUGCGCUUAAAACUGGAAGACUAGAAAACGGAAGAGGGUAGUGGAAUUCCCAGUGUAGAGGUGAAAUUCGUAGAUAUUGGGAAGAACACCAGUGGCGAAAGCGGCUACCUGGUCCGAUUUUGACGCUGAGGCGCGAAAGCGUGGGGAGCAAACGGGAUUAGAUACCCCGGUAGUCCACGCCGUAAACGAUGUCUACUAGCUGUAGGGGUACUUGAGACCUUUGUAGCGCAGCUAACGCAAUAAGUAGACCGCCUGGGGAGUACGGCCGCAAGGUUAAAACUCAAAUGAAUUGACGGGGGCCCGCACAAGCAGUGGAGCAUGUGGUUUAAUUCGAAGCAACGCGCAGAACCUUACCAGUCCUUGACAUGGGUAGUUUGGUUUCCAGAGAUGGAUUCCUUCAGUUCGGCUGGCUACCACACAGGUGCUGCAUGGCU